UAAAAACUUAAAAUUUAAAAGACUUGACGGUACUUCACACCAACCUAGAGGAGCCUGUCUAAUAACCGAUAACCCACGAUUAACCCAACCUUUUCUAGCCUAACAGUCUAUAUACCGCCGUCGCCAGCUUACCUUAUGAAAGAAACAAAGUGAGCCAAACAGCCUUAUACUCUAAUACGACAGGUCGAGGUGUAACUAAUGAAAAGGGCCAGGAUGGGCUACAUUUUCUAACCCAGAAAAAACGAACAGACUGUGAAAACAGAAACUGAAGGCGGAUUUAGCAGUAAGAUAAGAACAAAAUACUUAACCGAAACCAAAGCAAUGAAGUACGC
rnacentral:rRNA from 1 species